UAGGGAGCGAGCGUUAUCCGGAUUCAUUGGGCGUAAAGCGCGCGUAGGCGGCUGCCUAAGCGGAACCUCUAACCCCGGGGCUCAACCUCGGGCCGGGUUCCGAACUGGGCGGCUCGAGUGCGGUAGAGGAGAGCGGAAUUCCCGGUGUAGCGGUGGAAUGCGCAGAUAUCGGGAAGAACACCGAUGGCGAAGGCAGCUCUCUGGGCCGACACUGACGCUGAGGCGCGAAAGCUGGGGGAGCGA
rnacentral:rRNA from 1 species